GUGGGGAAUAUUGGACAAUGGACCAAAAGUCUGAUCCAGCAAUUCUGUGUGCACGAUGAAGUUUUUCGGAAUGUAAAGUGCUUUCAGUUGGGACGAAGUAAGUGACGGUACCAACAGAAGAAGCGACGGCUAAAUACGUGCCAGCAGCCGCGGUAAUACGUAUGUCGCAAGCGUUAUCCGGAUUUAUUGGGCGUAAAGCGCGUCUAGGCGGUUUGGUAAGUCUGAUGUGAAAAUGCGGGGCUCAACUCCGUAUUGCGUUGGAAACUGCCAAACUAGAGUACUGGAGAGGUGGGCGGAACUACAAGUGUAGAGGUGAAAUUCGUAGAUAUUUGUAGGAAUGCCGAUGGGGAAGCCAGCCCACUGGACAGAUACUGACGCUAAAGCGCGAAAGCGUGGGUAGCAAACAGGAUUAGAAACCCCAGUAGUCCU
rnacentral:rRNA from 1 species